GAUGAACGCUGGCGGCGUGCCUAAUACAUGCAAGUCGAACGAACAGACGAGGAGCUUGCUCCUCUGACGUUAGCGGCGGACGGGGGAGUAACACGUGACUAACCUACCUAUAAGACUGGACUAACUUCGGAACCCCGGAACUAAUACCGGAUAAUCUAUUGAACCGCAUGGUUCAAUAGUGAAUGACGGUUUUGCUGUCACUUAUAGAUGGAUCCGAGCCGGAUUAGCUAGUUGGUAAGGUAACGGCUUACCAAGGCAACGAUGCGUAGCCGUCCUGAGAGGGUGAGCGGCCACACUGGAACUGAGACACGGUCCCGACUCCUACGGGAGGCAGCAGUAGGGAAUCUGCCGCAAUGGGCGAAAGCCUGACGGAGCAACGCCGCGGGAGUGAUGAAGGUCUUCGGAUCGUAAAACUCUGUUAUUAGGGAAGAACAAAUGUGUAAGUAACUAUGCACGUCUUGACGGUACCUAAUCAGAAAGCCACGGCUAACUACGUG
rnacentral:rRNA from 1 species